GGACGGAAUAUUUUUUUUAAAAAUAUUAUCUUAUUUUAUUUCAGAUCUAAAGUCUAUUAGAUCUGAUUCUUAUUAUUUGAUAUUUAAUCUAAAAUUAAAUCUAAAACUUGAGGAUUAGAGGAAUACCUCUAGGGUAACUAGAUUACCUUGUAGAUGAUCGCAGCAAUGCCCGAGGUUCAAAAAUAGUCAUGCAGUCGUCUGACCUCUACUGAUAUCC
rnacentral:lncRNA from 1 species